rnacentral:lncRNA from 1 species
GGCCCCUUUUUGGCCCCUAAUUCAUAAACUGUUUUACCAUCAACUCCAAAAAUCAAUCCCAACCUUCCUUUUGUGGUCAUAAACCUUGUGUUUAAAUUUCAUUGAUUUCUAUUUACUUAUACUAAAGUUAUUGUGCGAAAACCAAGAAUAAUGCUUAUUUGGGCCCUUUUGGCCCUUAAUUCCUUAACUGUUGGAACCAAAACUCCCAAAAUCAAUCCCAACCUCCCUUUUGUGGUCAUAAACCUUGUGUCAAAAUUUCAUAGAUUUCUAUUCACUUAAACUAAAGUUAUAGUGCGAAAACCAAGAAAAUGCUUAUUUGGGCCCUUUUUGGCCCCUAAUUCCUAAAAUGUUGGGACCAAAACUCCGAAAAUCAAUCCCAACCUUCCUUUUGUGGUCAUAAACCUUGUGUUAAAAUUUCAUUGAUUUCUAUUCACUUUUACUAAAGUUAGAGUGCGAAAACUAAAAGUAUUCGGACGACGAUGACGACGACGACGACG